rnacentral:lncRNA from 1 species
GUUGACUUUUGACAUCAAACUCUUCAGUCCAGCUGCACUCUAUUGAGUGUGAACGAUCUUACUCAAUAGUACCCAAACUGGUCAAGGUUCCUGUAAAGAGAAGACCAAACUUCAGGCAAGAAUAGAGUUUGGAGAUGGACUUGCUUACCCGUCUAAAGGAUGUGGAAUUGGAGAAUAAGUGAGCUAAUCUUGGAAGAAUUUUGCAGAAAAACAGGACAUUUCUCCAUGGAUCCAGAGGAAGUGGUAACUGAGGCUGUCUGCAGUGGAAAAGACCUUCAAGUUGACUGUGAGUGGGUGCGACUCAUCAAGAAAAAUAACCUCACCACCACAACAACACAUGAUGGGAGAGACCGAAACUUCUUUGGGAGAACAUAAGGGGAAAAAAAAAAGAAAAAGUGAAGUCUAAAUAUUAUUAAACACAUGAAAGCAGAGUCAUUUACUUAUUAGGAAGGCGCUCAUUCACACACAGGUAGACUUGUGGUCCCUUAGAAGUACGUAAACACAACCCGUCAGUCCACCACAGUCAACAUCAGAAUUUCUUGGGAAAUGCCUCAUGAAAGAGUUUUUAAAGAAUAAUAUGACUGUGGAUCUGUCAAAUAAUUUCCCAAAAGCCAUGAAAGAUGAGUUGCUCUGCUCUGUUAUGCAUUUCCUUCCCUUGCACGGGCACUCACAGCUUGCCAAAUUUAGUCUGAGAUCUGAACAGAGAGAAAACAUGAACUCUUUCAACUGAAGUUCGGCUUCCUGUUUCUACAUGGCCUCUCAUACUCUGGGCCAUUCUGCAGAUCUACCCAGGUGUGUUUCCUGGACACUUGAUAAAAAUCAUUCUCACAUCAAAGUUGACCAAAAAUGAUUGAUGAUAAGUAGUUAAGGGUUUAUAAAUGCCAGACUAUGGGAGAUGAUUGUAAAAUAAAUAGAUAUAAAUAAAUAAAUAAACAAAUAAAUGUAA